UAAAGUUCCCCCUUCUGGGGAGAAUGAGAAAAAGUGCACCUCUCCCAAAUGCCUCCCAGUUAUGUAAAACAAAACAUGUCGCUCUCAAUUCUGACCAACACCCUGUGCAAUUCUACGGGGGAGCAAUGGGCAGGUCAAGAAGAGCUCUGCCCCUAGCUGGUUCCUCCAGCACCUGCGCCUCACCCUGGAGCCAAUACCCUCCCAGGGCCUAUUGUUCCCGGAUCUUGAUGGCGGAGAAGGCACCUCUGCUUCAAAUGCUUCUAUGUUCCCCGCAUCAACUCCGUCCCUGAGGCUAUUACAGAUUAGAAGGCGAAAAAAACCGCACUCGUGAUGACAUGUUUUCAGAGUUCAUACAGUCCUCUUGCACUGAUAGGGCACAGCUGAAUGCAUGGAGGCAUUUGGUGACAGAGGACAGGAAAGCAUACAAUGAGUGUGAUCGGAAGACGCAGGAGAAGAUGCUGAGGCUAAUGGGGGAGCAAACGGACAUGAUGAGGCAUCUGGUGAAUCUGCAGGAAAGGCAAUUAAAGCACAGACCACUGCUGCAGCCAUUGUGUAACCGCCUGCCCUCCUCACCAAGUUCCAUAUCCUCCUCACCCAGAUGCUCAAGAACACGGUGGGGAGGCUCUGGGCACCCAGUUACUCCACUCCAGAGGAUGGCCCAAGCAGCAGAAGGCUGUCAUUCAAACAGCUUUGAUUUGUAGUGUGGCUACAAUAAGCAAUGUGGCCUUGUUCUUCCCUUCUCCCCCACCCCACCCCACCCGUUAUCAAACCCUUUGUACACUGGGGCUUCCUUUUCCU